GACGAGCUCUCCAAACGUUAUUCGGUAUUACUGGGCUUAAAGAGUUCGUAGGCGGUCUAGAAGGUGAGAUGUGAAAGCCCUCGGCUCAACCGAGGAACUGCGUUUCAAACCGCUAGGCUUGAGGGAGGUAGGGGUAUGCGGAACAGAUGGUGGAGCGGUGAAAUGCGUUGAUAUCAUCUGGAACACCGGUGGCGAAAGCGGCAUACUGGACCUUUUCUGACGCUGAGGAACGAAAGCUAGGGUAGCGAACGGG
rnacentral:rRNA from 1 species